GUGGAUGUAGCUCAGUUGGUAGAGUAGUUGUCUGGCAUGGGGUAGACCCUGGGUUCAAUUCCCAGUGUCCCUC
rnacentral:tRNA from 1 species